CCUACGGGAGGCAGCAGUGGGGAAUAUUGCACAAUGGGGGAAACCCUGAUGCAGCGACGCCGCGUGAGCGAUGAAGUAUUUCGGUAUGUAAAGCUCUAUCAGCAGGGAAGAAGAAAGACGGUACCUGACUAAGAAGCACCGGCUAAAUACGUGCCAGCAGCCGCGGUAAU
rnacentral:rRNA from 1 species